ACUACCCAUACAAAAAAAAAGCACUAAAAAGUUAUACCUAUGAGCCCUUAAAAAAGUUACAAAAAAGUCAUAACUAAGUUAGCACAAUUUGGAACCAUCUGAUCAAUUAUGGUUCCAAAUUAGCAUCAAAAAGUUAUACCUAUAUUGUAACUUUUUGCUUAAGUACAAAAAAGUCAUAACUAGAGUGUAACUAUUGACAAUUUAUUUUUUUCAUAAAAAUAAAUAGGUAUAAAAAAGUUAUCAAAAAGUUAUAAUAAAGUUAUCAUUUAGGUACAAAAAAGUUACAAAUUAAAGUUACAGAAAAGUUAUCAUUUAGGUACAAAAAAGUUAUACAUAUAGGUAUAGAAAAGUUAUCAUUUAGGUACAGAAAAGUUAUAGAUGUAGGUACAGAAAAGUUAUACAUAUAGUUACAGAAAAGUUAUCAUUUAGGUACAGAAAAGUUAUAGACGUAGGUACAGAAAAGUUAUACAUAUAGUUACAGAAAAGUUAUACAUAUAGUUACAGAAAAGUUAUCAUUUAGGUACAGAAAAGUUAUACAUAUAGUUACAGAAAAGUUAUCAUUUAGGUACAGAAAAGUUAUAGAUGUAGGUACAGAAAAGUUAUCAUUUAGGUACAGAAAAGUUAUAGAUGUAGGUACAGAAAAGUUAUACAUAAAGUUACAGAAAAGUUAUUGUUUAGGUACAGAAAAGUUAUAGAUGUAGGUACAAAAAAGUUAUCAUUUAGGUACAGAAAAGUUACACAGAAAAAUUACAGAUGUAGGCAAAAAAUAUCUAUCUGUAUCAUAAACUUCAGAUAAAAAAAAACCCCAGGUACAUGUACAGGUGUUAUACUGAUGAAAAAAAAGUCCCUAAUGUUGACAUGAACUUUUCAUCAAAUUGUUUUUGCUCUUGAAUAGGAAUUUAAAAUCAUAUCUGUUCAUGUGAGCAGAAGAACACAAGUCAAUGUUUAUGUUAAUCAAUAUGUUUACUGAAUUAUAUUUACAUCUAAUGAGUAUGCUUUCCUCCAUUUCUUAUGGAAACUUAUAGUUAACGCCUUGUUUCACGAUCGGUCGAAACCUAUAAUGACCUUAGAAACAUCAUUGAAAUAAUCAGGAUAUCAAUGCACUCACAUUCCCAUUGAAGACAAUUUGGCUGUUUCUUUUAGCUAACGUACUGAUGCACAUUAAAAAUAAUAUAGUAAAUUUAACUUACUCUUUACAAACAAUUUAUUAAUUUGUUAAAAGAAAGAUGUAAAUAUAAACAAUAUAACUUUCUUUGACGAUUCAUGCAGGUAAUGAAGGGAGCAAUGAUUGCAGAAAAAAUUUACAUAACUCGCUAAUGCGGGUAAUGUAUUUUUUCUGCAAUGUCGCUACAUUCAUAUCCCGCAUAUGUCACCAAAAAAGCAUUUUAUUGUUUACAUAAUUAUCUCAAAUCAUUACAGACCCUAUAUGCAAGUUUU